AUCGGAUUGAUACUAAGCAUGCGAGUCAUUGUAGUAAUACAAGGCAGACGGCUCAGUAACGCGUAGUCAACCUAACCUAUGGACGGGAAUAACCUCGGGAAACUGAGUAUAAUGCCCGAUAGAACAUUAUGCCUGGAAUGGUUUAUGUUCCAAAUGAUUUAUCGCCGUAGGAUGGGACUGCGGCCUAUCAGUUUGUUGGUGAGGUAAUGGCCCACCAAGACUAUUACAGGUACGGGCUCUGAGAGGAGUGGCCCGGAGAUGGGUACUGAGACACGGACCCAGGCCCUAUGGGGCGCAGCAGGCGAGAAAACUUUGCAAUGUGCGAAAGCACGACAAGGUUAAUCCGAGUGGUUUCUGCUAAAGGAACCUUUUGUCGGUCCUAGAAACACCGAUGAAUAAGGGGUGGGCAAGUUCUGGUGUCAGCCGCCGCGGUAAAACCAGCACCUCAAGUGGUCAGGAUGAUUAUUGGGCCUAAAGCAUCCGUAGCCGGCUUUGUUAGUUUUCGGUUAAAUCUGUACGCUUAACGUACAGGCUGCCGGGAAUACUGCAGAGCUAGGGAGUGGGAGAGGUAGACGGUACUCGGUAGGAAGGGGUAAAAUCCUUUGAUCUAUUGAUGACCACCUGUGGCGAAGGCGGUCUACCAGAACACGUCCGACGGUGAGGGGAUGAAAGCUGGGGGAGCAAACCGGAUUAGAUACCCGGGUAGUCCCAGCUGUAAACUAUGCAAACUCAGUGAUGCAUUGGCUUGUGGCCAAUGCAGUGCUGCAGGG
rnacentral:rRNA from 1 species